rnacentral:rRNA from 1 species
AAGGUUGGGUAACACUAACUGGAGGACCGAACCGACUAAUGUUGAAAAAUUAGCGGAUGACCUGUGGCUGGGGGUGAAAGGCCAAUCAAACCGGGAGAUAGCUGGUUCUCCCCGAAAGCUAUUUAGGUAGCGCCUCGUGAAUUCAUCUCCGGGGGUAGAGCACUGUUUCGGCUAGGGGGCCAUCCCGGCUUACCAACCCGAUGCAAACUGCGAAUACCGGAGAAUGUUAUCACGGGAGACACACGGCGGGUGCUAACGUCCGUCGUGAAGAGGGAAACAACCCAGACCGCCAGCUAAGGUCCCAAAGUCAUGGUUAAGUGGGAAACG